GUGCUCUCUUUGGCAGCACAUAUAUUGAAAUGGGAAUGAUACAAAGAUUAGCAUGGUCCUUGAAUAAGGAUAACACACAAAUCUGUGGAAGGUUGUGCCUUCUC
ensembl:snRNA U6 U6 spliceosomal RNA